rnacentral:rRNA from 1 species
UAGUGAUCCGGUGGUUCUGAAUGGAAGGGCCAUCGCUCAACGGAUAAAAGGUACUCCGGGGAUAACAGGCUGAUACCGCCCAAGAGUUCAUAUCGACGGCGGUGUUUGGCACCUCGAUGUCGGCUCAUCACAUCCUGGGGCUGAAGUAGGUCCCAAGGGUAUGGCUGUUCGCCAUUUAAAGUGGUACGCGAGCUGGGUUUAGAACGUCGUGAGACAGUUCGGUCCCUAUCUGCCGUGGGCGCUGGAGAACUGAGGGGGGCUGCUCCUAGUACGAGAGGACCGGAGUGGACGCAUCACUGGUGUUCGGGUUGUCAUGCCAAUGGCACUGCCCGGUAGCUAAAUGCGGAAGAGAUAAGUGCUGAAAGCAUCUAAGCACGAAACUUGC